rnacentral:snRNA from 1 species
GAGAUUAUCAUGGCUCCUGCCCAAGGAGGAUAUGUGAAUUCAUGAAGUGUUCCAUGUUUUU